AGGGUGUAAACGCUGCAGACUUGGUGUUGGAGGCCCUUUGGGGGCAUUCAGUGCCGGAGAGAAGUUGUUAAGUCUGCUACUUGGGGAGUACGUCCGCAGGGAUGAAACUUAAAGGAAUUGGCGGGGGAGCACCGCAACGGGAGGAGCGUGCGGUUUAAUUGGAUUCAACACCGUAAAACUCACCAGGGAAGACUGUUACAUGAAGGCCGAGAUGAAGACUCUGCUAGAUUUUUCAGAGAGGAGGUGCAUGGCGUCAGUGACU
rnacentral:rRNA from 1 species